GCCCAAGUUUGAUUUUGGAUAAUUGAUGAAAUGUAACACCCAAAAAUUUGCUCCUUUUGAAAUAGAUGAAAAUUGAAUUUAAUUUUGUAUUUUUGAGUUCAUGAAAUAUAGAGAGAUAAUAUUUUUCAGUAAAUUAAAAUUUAUUAUAGGAUUUAGCAACUUGUUUGUGCAAUCCUUUCGAAGCAUUUAUUUUCAUUGUAUUGUGUUUUUGAGCAAAGUCAAAAUAUUUUUUCGAAUUGAUUUGAAACUGCUUUGAAAAGACUUGGAAAUAAAAAAAAUAAACAAAAAGAAAACAAACAAAAGAAAAAGGAAAAAAACCUCUCCCCUCUCCAUCUUUCUGGCCCGAAGGCCCAACCCCUUCCCCUCCCCCUGCUGUCCCCUUCGGCCCAGCGCAGCAGGAAGCCCAGCUCCCUCUCUCGGCCUCGGCCCAACCCAGCGCGCGCUGCCCUUCUCUCCCCCUCUCUUCUGUCACUGGCAAGCUGGCCCCGCAUGGCAGUGACGUCCCUAUCUUCUUCCUCCUGGAGCCGUAUGCGACAGGGACUCCCAGAGGGAAAUCGAUCCCGGGUACUCGGGAUUUCCCUUGCCCAACAGCUCAACCGAGCACCCUAUAAGAACCGCGACCCUUCCCCGAUGUUUCUUUUCCCAUCUACAAGUUCCAGGGAAGACCCAGCCGCGGCACCACCUUGUUUAGUCUCGCUGAGCCGGCCGUCAUCGUUGUCCUCGCUCCUGGUGCUCGAAGACCCUCCACAAACCACUCCUCG
rnacentral:lncRNA from 1 species